UACAGAGGGGGCAAGCGUUGUUCGGAAUCACUGGGCGUAAAGCGCGCGCAGGCGGCGAUCUACGUCUGGGGUGAAAGCCCGGAGCUCAACUCCGGGACUGCCUUGGAUACGGGAUCGCUUGAGGAUUGGAGAGGCAAGGGGAAUUCCACGUGUAGCGGUGAAAUGCGUAGAUAUGUGGAGGAACACCUGUGGCGAAGGCGCCUUGCUGGCCAAUUUCUGACGCUGAGACGCGAAAGCGUGGGGAGCAAACAGG
rnacentral:rRNA from 1 species